CCAGGUCCUACCUUCCCAGCUCAAAGGCACCAGCAGCAGGAAAAGCACAUGAAGGUCAUGGUGUGGUCCUACCGCCUGCUUUGCUCACUGCGGGCCACAUCCGGGGCUUUGUGUGCAGUAGGCACUGAGCGGAUGAAGGCAGAGGCUGAAGGACUGAAGAGCUAUCAGCACAGUUACAUGCAUUGUGACGGGCGUGCUUGCGGGAAGUGCCAGGGAACUCACCUUGCCCACAGAUGGGUCAUGCGCAGCCCGCUUUUCUGAUGCCCCUGGGCACAAAGCUACCUGCCUGGUGAUCUGCCUACUGCCUGUGUUCUCUGGAGUACAUCAGCUCAGGGCAUCUCCCUGAUGGUUUGGGACAGCAGAGGCAGAUUCAGGGCUGACAGGUGACUGCAUGAAAUGUCGUCAUGCCUGUGGUGGUUCAGGUCAUCCGCAGUCACCAGCAGCAGUGCGGAUGGAAGAGCAGUGCCUGAAUGGGGCGUGUUUAGAAGGGACAUACCAAUGAGUCAGAGCUCCAUCCCAGGCAUGAGGGUGAGGGAGGGACACGGAUGAAUUUGAGCCCCUGACCCCCGUCAGGGUGCCACCAGGAAUGUGACCGGGCAUGCCCAGGCUUCCAGGGCCAAGCCUGAGUGCCCUGAGGGAGCCAAGAACCGUCCCCAGCCCAGCUGGGACAACUGUGCCAGUUCUUACUGGUCGCCCAUAUUCCCUGCUCCAAGGUCACCCGCUCCAUGAUGUCUCCUGGACCCCUCCCAGCCA